GGUUGAUGGGAGCUUGCUCCCUGAUAUCAGCGGCGGAGGGGUGAGUAACACGUGGGUAACCUGCCUGUAAGACUGGGAUAACUCCGGGAAACCGGGGCUAAUACCGGAUAACUCAUUUCCUCGCAUGAGGAAAUGUUGAAAGGUGGCUUUUACCUACCACUUACAAAUGGACCCGCGGCGCAUUACCUAUUUGGGGAGGUAACGGUUCACCAAGGCAACAAUGCGUACCCAACCUGAAAGGGGGAUCGGCCACACUGGGACUGAAACACGGCCCAAACUCCUACGGGAGGCACCAGUAGGGAAUCUUCCGCAUGGGACAAAAGUCUGACGGACCAACGCCCCGGGAGUGAUGAAGGUUUUCGGAUCGUAAAGCUCUGUUGUUAGGGAAAAACAAGGGCCGUUCAAAUAGGGCGGCACCUUGACGGUACCUAACCAAAAAGCCACGGUUAACUACGGGCCACCAGCCGCGGUAUUACGUAGGUGGCAAGCGUUGUCCGGAAUUAUGGGGCGUAAAGCGCGCGCAGGUGGUUCUUUAAGCCUGAUGUGAACCCAACGGUUCACCGGUGAAGGGUCAUGGAAACGGGGAACUGGAGUGCAAAGAGAAA
rnacentral:rRNA from 1 species